CUAAUACUCCCUCCAUCUCAAAUUAAGUGACUUUUUAUUGCAUGUAUCUAGACAUUUUUUAGACAUAGAUACAUUCAUAUUUGUAUAAAUUUGAGUCACUUAAUAUGAAACAGAGGGAGUAGGAG
rfam:Brachypodium distachyon strain Bd21 chromosome 1, whole genome shotgun sequence.